CGCCGUUGUCAGUGCCAAGAAGGUUGUAGAGACAAUUGGUAGUACUGUUUUAGUCCUUAUUCAUUUGGUCUAGUCCAUUAUAGUCUUAAGACCAGUCCUAUUAGCCCUUGUCACCAGUUCUUAAGACUAUCAGCAUUAGAACCAAUUAAAGAAGAAGAAAUAAACUUGAGUGGCGUCAUCAAGUACCGCACUUAAUUAGUUUUAAGACUGAUAUGCAGGACUGAAUCGGACAAUAACAAGAAAGAACUGUACAGGACUGCAGUCUUCGGCCCUAAAUAAGGAUCAACACAACACUAACCGUUGGCAUCUAUCGAACUGCCUUAUCAAUAUGUCAAUUGCAGCCCUAUACAUUCAAGAAGAACCAAAACUUCUGAUGAAACAAGAUGGCUGACUCCUGUUCUGCCUCCAUGCGGCCCUCUUCCAGCUCUGACCCCAACCCCCUGGACUUUGAAUUUUGGGGUUACUUUAAGAAGAAUGUCAGCCACACCUCUCAUCCAAAUUUGGGUUUGCUCCAGGCUGCAAUUAUGGUAGCGUGGUACACCAUGAUCACGGCAUUUAUCGUCAAUCUAUUUGCCGCGUGUCGAGGCUAUUAUUGCUUGCCCAUAUCCUGGAUAAAUUAAGUAUCAUGAAUCAAAUGAGGCUCUAAACUAUGGUUAACAUUCUUGGAUAUAUCAACGCAUCCAUGGCAGUUGUACACAAAGUCUAUUAUUCACCAACAUAUGUCAAUUCCAAUAUGACAUAUUGGACUGUAAAUGCUUUAAAAAUUAAUCUGGGUAUUCAUCUAAAAUUUCAAAAAUAAUAUAUAUAAAAUUUUAUUUAUUUAAAAAGUAAAGUGGGUAUUUAUCCCUUAUGAUGAUUUUUGUUCGAGAUUGCUUUUGGCGUUGACUCACUUCACAUGAUAUAUACAAUGUGUGUUGUAGAACUGAUGUUGGGAUGUUCUACAACAAUAUGUACUUCUCCUUGUGUUCAUGAGUUCCUUUGGAUUGAGACAAUCUUGUAAAAAAAUUAAUAAAUUAUGUACCAAGUAAA
rnacentral:lncRNA from 1 species